AAUAUCAAUAACUAGUUUAAUUGAUACAAUUUACACGGUUUUGUACCUUUUUUUCAACAAAAAAAGAUCUUAAUUUUUGUAGGUUGUUGGAUUUGAAUAAUUCGAUAUGUGCUACAUGAGUUUAGUAUCGUUUGUGACUUAGAGGCGGUCGCAAGAAUUAAUAUCUCGCUUUUUUCGCGAGAACCGGAUCGUUGAGCCAUGGAAGCGGAAAAUAUCAGCACCAAAGAAACCGAUGAUUCAACCGGCACAAAGGAAACGGCACCAAGGCCGGUGAAAAAUAAAGCGAAGUUGAUUUCACCACAGUUAUUAGCGUGCAAAAUCGAAACGAAUACAGUUGUGAUGCCGCCAGCUCUGCGACAGCGAAGUAUUCAAUUGCAAGCACUGCAAGCAUCGCGCUCAAGUGCUGAAUUACUUGCACCACAACAAGUUACAAUUCAAUCGGUUCAGAAUGACUUGAGGCAUCGGAAAAAGGCUGUCAUUGUCGAAGAUGUCAAUCAAUCGAGCUCAGCGGGAACCACAACUUCUGACGAUGACAGCGGUUCUGAUGACACCAAUGGAUAUUUUGAAUCAUAUUUGGUAAUCGAAUUCUCACCCAAUAUACAGAAGAAAACGCUACACUGGAUCAUCGAUAAGAUACGAACGAGAGCAUCACGAGGAGGGGCCGGCCUACUCAUCAAACGUGAGCCACAAACAAACCCUCAUCGCGGUCUUAUCAUUCAUGUGUCAGCAGAAAAUUGCAAAUUCUUACAAAUAGCCGAUGAGCUAGAGCUUAUGAAACUAACACGAAGUGGCAGUAUGAAGAAUUUCAACAUUUCUUGUUUAGCCGAUUUCUUCGUCACCGAUUCAAUGGCCAUCGAUAACGUUCUCACACUGGCCGAUAGGCAGAUGAUAAUAAAGCAUGCCAUUGAUAGCAUAAAAGCGACCGAAAUCGAAAAAUUCAUUCCGGGUUAUGAACACUUGCUGCUUUAUCAAGGUCAAUCGCUGAUAAACGCAUGUAUGGCCGAGGGACUCAUCGUUAAUAUGUUUACAUUACGUGAUACAGAAUAUUUGAAAAAACUGAAGCCAUGGUACUCAAAGUCAUUGAACUGGCAACCUAUUAAUCGAGUUCGUGAUUAUUUCGGUGAAAGCAUCGGAAUUUACUUUGCUUUUGUUGAAUACCACACCAUAGCACUCAUAGUGCCUGCAAUAUUGGGAAUCUUUCAAUAUUUCCUGGCUGGAAGCUAUGUGCCAUACUUCUGUGCGUUUUAUGUCAUUUGGAUGAUGCUCUUUCUCGAAAUAUGGAAACAAAAGUGUUCAGGCCUGGCCUACAAAUGGGGUACUAUCACAAUGACCAAUCUGGAUAUACCGCGCAUUGGUUAUUAUGGGAAAAUUGCACGAGAUCCAGUUACAAGCAAACGACAACCGCAGUAUCCCAUGUGGAAGACAUACGCCACAAUGUAUUGUAUUUCAUUGCCUGUGAUCAUAAUAUGCAUGUUGCCAGCAGCAUUUUUUGCACUCACCCAAUUCUGGAUGGAGGACAAAGUCUUGGCAAUCGCUGGUCCAAAUUCAUACUGGUUAUACCUGCCAUCAAUCGUAGAAUCGAUCAUUGUCAUCGUGUUUUCCAUUCUAUAUGAAAAACUAGCGACUUGGUUGACGGAUCUAGAGAACCAUCGAACACAGGCUCAAUAUGAACGGCACAGAGUCAUCAAAUUGAUCCUGUUGGAGUUCGUGAACAACUUUUUGUCGCUGUUCUACAUAGCAUUUUGGUUGGGAGAUGUGAAAAUGAUCAGUAAUCAGUUGAUGACACAAUUGCUUGUGUUCCAGAUCGCACAAAAGUUCACGGGCACAUUGCUACCAUUGAUAAUGCCAAAGCUAUAUCGAUUGAAAGAUUCGCUCAUGAACAGUUUAACAUUGGUAGCGAAAAAUGAAUAUGAUGAAUUGAAUAUAGUUCAGUUGCCAAAGGAUGACCCUCGAAUCGAGCAAAAUGCAAACGAGAGUUCAUUGCUCGAGUACGACAGUACUUAUGAGGAUUAUUUGGAGAUGUACAUCCAAUUCGGUUACGUUGUUUUAUUCGCAUCGAUAUCGCCUUUCUCGGCUAUCGCAGCGCUCAUCAACAACAUCAUUGAGAUGCGGAUCGAUGCAUAUAAGCUCUGCUGUGUGUUCCGCCGUCCAUUUGCCAAACGAGCUAAGAACACAGGAGCGUGGCUACUUGCAUUUGAAGCCAUGAUUGUUAUGUCCAUCAUCACAAACUGCGGCCUGCUGUAUUUGCAGCCAGAGUUACGUGAUUCGUCACGACCCAAGGAACUCAUCGUCUUGGAAUUUGUAAUCGUGGAACACAUACUACUUGCGAUUGCGUGGGCAUUGAAUAAGGGCAUACCGGAUCGACCGUGGUGGGUACGAGUCGCCCUUGCCAAAGCGGACUACGAAUCGAGACAAGCAGUCAAACGAGAAGUAAAUAUCCGUUGAAAACUAACAAAAACAUGAUAUGGAAAACUGUGAUAAUUACGAAACACAGUCAUUACACUUAAUACCAUUAAGUCUAACACGGAUCCUAACAAAAUGCUAAUUUUAAGAGAAUGCUCAGAUCACCAGGAAGGUACUGUUUCGGCGAUUUUACAGCCUUCGUGGACGGAAUAAAGCCGAUUAAUUCCCGCUAAAAUCAUCGGAUCUAUUAACUUGAUCAUAGCUCGCGAAGAUAUGCAUAAAAUCUAUUUAUUUGUUAACUAAUAAUCUCAGCAUAUACAAACAUAAUUAAAAUCAACGCAUUUAUGAUAUGAAGAAUAGAGUAGCAUCCCGUAAAUCACUCUUUUUUGCAAUAAAGUAUUAUCAAAAACACCAAAA